rnacentral:misc_RNA from 1 species
GUAAAUGAGGGAGCGAAAGUUCCUGAACACUGUGUGCACCAUUGUCUGUCUCUGGUGGAACCAGGAGGCUCGAACCGGACUAACCUCCGGUGAGGGUUUCCCUCCACCGAACUUGAAACAACCACUGUCUUUGAAUUUAGUCUGAUCUUGGUUUCCUUUUGCCGUCACCGAAAGGUGGUGGUUGGAAUCUUGAAAA